CAGGCCAUGGACGCUGGGGGAGAGGAGGUGGCUUUCCUACCUAGCAGGCCAUGGACACUGGGGGAGAGGAGGUGGCUGUCCUACCUAGCAGGCCAUGGACGCUGGGGGAGAGGAGGUGGCUUUCCUACCUAGCAGGCCAUGGACACUGGGGGAGAGGAGGUGGCUUUCCUACCUAGCAGGCCAUGGACGCUGGGGGAGAGGAGGUGGCUUCCCUACCUAGCAGGCCAUGGACGCUGGGGGAGAGGUGGCUUCCCUACCUAGCAGGCCAUGGACGCUGGGGGAGAGGUGGCUUCCCUACCUAGCAGGCCAUGGACGCUGGGGGAGAGGAGGUGGCUUUCCUACCUAGCAGGCCAUGGACACUGGGGGAGAGGAGGUGGCUUUCCUACCUAGCAGGCCAUGGACGCUGGGGGAGAGGUGGCUUUCCUACCUAGCAGGCCAUGGACGCUGGGGGAGAGGAGGUGGCUGUCCUACCUAGCAGGCUAUGGACGCUGGGGGAGAGGAGGUGGCUGUCCUACCUAGCAGGCCAUGGACGCUGGGGGAGAGGAGGUGGCUGUCCUACCUAGCAGGCCAUGGACGCUGGGGGAGAGGAGGUGGCUGUCCUACCUAGCAGGCCAUGGACGCUGGGGGAGAGGAGGUGGCUGUCCUACCUAGCAGGCCAUGGACGCUGGGGGAGAGGAGGUGGCUUUCCUACCUAGCAGGCCAUGGACGCUGGGGGAGAGGUGGCUUUCCUACCUAGCAGGCCAUGGACGCUGGGGGAGAGGAGGUGGCUUCCCUACCUAGCAGGCCAUGGACGCUGGGGGAGAGGUGGCUUCCCUACCUAGCAGGCCAUGGACGCUGGGGGAGAGGUGGCUUCCCUACCUAGCAGGCCAUGGACACUGGGGGAGAGGUGGCUGUCCUACCUAGCAGGCCAUGGACGCUGGGGGAGAGGAGGUGGCUGUCCUACCUAGCAGGCCAUGGACGCUGGGGGAGAGGAGGUGGCUGUCCUACCUAGCAGGCCAUGGACGCUGGGGGAGAGGUGGCUUCCCUACCUAGCAGGCCAUGGACGCUGGGGGAGAGGUGGCUUCCCUACCUAGCAGGCCAUGGACACUGGGGGAGAGGUGGCUGUCCUACCUAGCAGGCCAUGGACGCUGGGGGAGAGGAGGUGGCUGUCCUACCUAGCAGGCCAUGGACGCUGGGGGAGAGGAGGUGGCUGUCCUACCUAGCAGGCCAUGGACGCUGGGGGAGAGGAGGUGGCUGUCCUACCUAGCAGGCCAUGGACGCUGGGGGAGAGGAGGUGGCUGUCCUACCUAGCAGGCCAUGGACGCUGGGGGAGAGGAGGUGGCUG